rnacentral:misc_RNA from 1 species
CGGCCAAGGCUGGAGGAGUCUGGCAGAAGCGGCGCGAGUCCGUUACUUUACGGUGCUGGGCGGCCACGGCGUGUGUCCCACCGCGGCCGCGCUCCCACCAGUCACUAGGUUAGUAAUGCCAGCCCUCAUGUCCGGCCGUGGGGAGGCCCUGGUGCUGCUGCUGCUGCUGCCCCGGCCGGUGUGGGGAGCGUGUGAGGCUGGGGGCGCUGUGAGGAGGAAGGAGGAGCGUGGGGGCGAGGCGCGCCAGCAAGUGAAACUUGCCGGCCCAUCGGCGGGACGCGAGGUGGCGGGUUUUCCCUUUUAGUAUCGUGUGUGAAUGUAGGUUACGGCAGUUUCGCUUUUCGAGUGGUAUGCGAUGGUUGGGUUCGUGUCUCCUGCGAGCGUGUGUGAGGCGCGCCCCAGCCCGUGAUCACAGCACGGUGCUCUCUGACUAUACGGCCUUCUUCUAGUGCAGUGUCGUGUGGCAACCAUAACAGUGGAAGUGUACAUAGUGUAACACAAAGUGACACCACUCUCAAGCCUUGGCAGUGUUAUGACCUGGAUUGUGCACGGAUAAUUGUGUUACGAGUGAUUAUACUCAAGCGAGAGUGACUUCCUCCUCCAAUAGGACCUUCAUACUGGAUACGAAUCAAGUUUCUUUUACCAGGGAACACCAAGGAGACGAGAGGUCCUGCUUGGAUUAUAAUUAACUGGAAGCCAUUGUGAGAUUUUCUUUCUGUAAUAAAGUAAAAGAACGUAGUAUUGGGUAAAAAAAAAAAAAAAAAAAAAAAUGAGGCAGAUGGAGUUUCGCCAAAGAGGACUAUCGGAUUAAUUAAAAUGUCAAACGCAUUCUUCGCGCACAGAAAAGGUAAGGUUUUCCAGUCUCGUAGAUGCUCGUUUUUCUAGAGUUAUUAAUAAUCGAUGCUGCACAGAUAUUCCCUGGCGUUUCGUAUUGGAUUUAUUUUCUUUGUCUGUCUGUCUGUCUCUCCCUCUGCCUCU